rnacentral:rRNA from 1 species
UACGUAGGGGGCAAGCGUUGUCCGGAUUAUUGGGCGUAAAGAGCGUGUAGGCGGCCAUACAGGUCAGCUGUGAAAACUCGAGGCUCAACCUCGAGACGUCGGUUGAAACCGUAUGGCUAGAGUCCGGAAGAGGAGAGUGGAAUUCCCGGUGUAGCGGUGAAAUGCGCAGAUAUCGGGAAGAACACCCGUGGCGAAGGCGGCUCUCUGGGACGGUACUGGACGCUGAGACGCGAAAGCGUGGGGAGCCGAACAGG